rnacentral:rRNA from 1 species
UACGGGGGGGGCAAGCGUUGUUCGGAAUUACUGGGCGUAAAGGGCUCGUAGGCGGCCAACUAAGUCCGACGUGAAAUCCCAAGGCUUAACCUUGGAACUGCGUCGGAUACUGGAUGGCUUGAAUUCGGGAGAGGGAUGCAGAAUUCCAGGUGUAGCGAUGAAAUGCGUAGAUAUCUGGAGGAAUACCGGUGGCGAAGGCGGCAUCCUGGACCGACAUUGACGCUGAUGAGCGAAAGCUAGGGGAGCAAACGGG